rnacentral:rRNA from 1 species
UACGUAGGGGGCAAGCGUUGUCCGGAUUUAUUGGGCGUAAAGAGCGUGUAGGCGGCCAUACAGGUCCGUUGUGAAAACUCGAGGCUCAACCUCGAGACGUCGAUGGAAACCGUAUGGCUAGAGUCCGGAAGAGGAGAGUGGAAUUCCUGGUGUAGCGGUGAAAUGCGCAGAUAUCAGGAAGAACACCAAUGGCGAAGGCAGCUCUCUGGGACGGUACUGACGCUGAGACGCGAAAGCGUGGGGAGCGAACAGG